GGUCACAUGAUUGUGACAUCACACGGGUCCUGUGGUCUUUCUGAUCUCCUCAGACAAGAAGAAGAAGAAGACCCAGAGAGAGGAUGUGCUGGGAGUUGUGAGAACUUGCUGCAAAUAGACAGCACCAGCUCAGAGAGAGACCUGCUGGCAGCAUUAGAGAGACAAGUACAAAGUCCAGACGUCUGGUCUAUGCAAUGAGAGGAGACUGCAGCUGGACUGACCUGGUUACGGGCGUUGUGAGGAUUCGGUGGAGACGAGUUGUGAUCGGGAGAAAUGCACAGAUGGAGAAGAAAGAUAAAAGUGAACUACUCCGAUCAGAGAAGACACCUCUAUAACUAUUGCCAACAACAUCUUUACUAAUAUCUGCAAUUUGACGAAUCGGCACCUCUUUGUUGUCCUACCUCGUCAUUGACAGCAACUAGGUGCGCAAUA